GACGAACGCUGGCGGCGUGCUUAACACAUGCAAGUCGAACGGGUCUGCCCUGUUUUUUGCGGGGUGGGUCAGUGGCGAACGGGUGAGUAACACGUGAGUAACCUGCCCCUCACUUCUGGAUAACCGCUUGAAAGGGUGGCUAAUACGGGGUGUUCUGGCUGUGCCGCAUGGUGUAGCUGGGAAAGAUUCACUUUUGUGGUGUUUUGGUGGGGGAUGGGCUCGCGGCCUAUCAGCUUGUUGGUGGGGUGAUGGCCUGCCAAGGCUUUGACGGGUAGCCGGCCUGAGAGGGUGGGCGGUCACACUGGGACUGAGAUACGGCCCAGACUCCUGCGGGAGGCAGCAGUGGGGGGUAUUGCACAAUGGGCGGAAGCCUGAUGCAGCGACGUCGCGUGAGGGAUGGAGGCCUUCGGGUUGUGAACCUCUUUCGCCGGUGAAGAAGGUCCUGCUCUUUGUGGUGGGGUUGACGGUAGCCGGGUUAUGAAGCGCCGGCUAACUACGUG
rnacentral:rRNA from 1 species